rnacentral:rRNA from 1 species
UACGUAGGGCGCAAGCGUUAUCCGGAAUUAUUGGGCGUAAAGAGCUCGUAGGCGGUCUGUCGCGUCUGCUGUGAAAACCCGAGGCUCAACCGUCGGGCCUGCAGUGGGUACGGGCAGACUAGAGUGCGGUAGGGGAGAUUGGAAUUCCUGGUGUAGCGGUGAAAUGCGCAGAUAUCAGGAGGAACACCCGUAGCGAAGGCGGCACUCUGGGCCGAUACUGACACUGAGGAGCGAAAGCGUGGGGAGCGAACAGG